CCUUACCCGACACGGGAAACAAAGAUGGGUCGGAAGCACAAAAAAACUAGAGCUGACAAGGACCCUACCACCCACGAUAUCGGGGAACUUCUCCGGCGCUCGCAAAAGACCGCAUGGGACAAAAUGGCGGCAGGUGAGGAAGCUUACUCCUAUUCCUCAGAUGACUUCUCCAUAGACCCCGGGGAAGGUGCAGCAUAUGUCCCACCACCCACCUCAAAGCCUCAGCGCACCCCUACAGAAGAG